rnacentral:lncRNA from 1 species
GAGUUUGGAGGGUGCCGGUCAACGAAGCCACGCGAGGUAUUUGAAAGGCAAUCAGCCCGACCGUCCCCCUAGAUUCAUCGGAGAAGGAACUAGGUGAAUAUUGCCCUGGGUCCUGGUAAUUCUACCUACUGAAGACAAAAGCCCCUUCUGCUCAUAUUUCCUGAGUCAACAUGGCCGUUCCUAACUUUGAAGAGACUUUAGACAUUCUUUGUUACAAUGAGCCCAGAAGAAAGAAGAGAAAUAAUAACUGCCAUGGAAGGAUGCUCCUCCUGCCAAUUGGCACUUAUCAAUGACAUCGAGGGAGAGGGACAGAGUGCCUAGGUAUGAGCCUUCAUCAAGUAGUAUGAAGGCCCUACCCCAACAGAAAGUGCUGAUGUGAAGAAGUGAUGCUUUGGACAAGACUUUUCCUCCAAGUUGGUCCUAUCCAGAGGUUGGCAAACAGGGUCCCUGGACAUCAUCCCUGUUGUGUACUAUUAUGAAUAAAGUUCUAUAGGACACA